AGGGUUUGAUUAUGGCUCAGGACGAACGCUGGCGGCGUGCCUAACACAUGCAAGUCGAACGAAGCUUUGAGGAGCUUGCUUUUUAAAGCUUAGUGGCGGACGGGUGAGUAACGCGUGAGCAACCUGCCUCUCAGAGGGGGAUAACGUUUUGAAAAGAACGCUAAUACCGCAUAACAUAUCGGAACCGCAUGAUUCUGAUAUCAAAGGAGCAAUCCGCUGAGAGAUGGGCUCGCGUCCGAUUAGUUAGUUGGUGAGGUAACGGCUCACCAAGACUACGAUCGGUAGCCGGACUGAGAGGUUGAUCGGCCACAUUGGGACUGAGACACGGCCCAG
rnacentral:rRNA from 1 species